rnacentral:tRNA from 1 species
GAGGGUGUGGCUCAGCGGUAGAGUGCUGGCCUCGCAUGUGUGUAGCCCAGGUUCCAUCCCCAGCAUAUAUA